rnacentral:rRNA from 1 species
UACGAAGGGGGCUAGCGUUGCUCGGAAUCACUGGGCGUAAAGCGCACGUAGGCGGCUUGUUAAGUCAGGGGCGAAAUCCUGGAGCUCAACUCCAGAACUGCCUUUGAUACUGGCGAGCUUGAGUUCGGGAGAGGUGAGUGGAACUGCGAGUGUAGAGGUGAAAUUCGUAGAUAUUCGCAAGAACACCAGUGGCGAAGGCGGCUCACUGGCCCGAUACUGACGCUGAGGUGCGAAAGCGUGGGGAGCAAACAGG